CUCAACGGAUAAAAGGUACUCCGGGGAUAACAGGCUUAUCGCGCCCAAGAGUCCAAAUCGACGGCGCGGUUUGGCACCUCGAUGUCGGCUCGUCGCAUCCUGGGGCUGGAGCAGGUCCCAAGGGUUUGGCUGUUCGCCAAUUAAAGCGGCACGUGAGCUGGGUUCAGAACGUCGUGAGACAGUUCGGUCCGUAUCCUCUGUGGGCGUUGGAAAUUUGAGAGGGCCUGUCCCUAGUACGAGAGGACCGGGAUGGACAAACCUCUGGUGUACCGGUUGUCGCGCCAGCGGCAUUGCCGGGUAGCUAUGUUUGGAAGGGAUAACCGCUGAAAGCAUCUAAGCGGGAAGCCUGCCUCAAGAUAAGAUUUCCCUCCACGCAAGUGGCUAAAGACCCCUGGAAGAUUACCAGGUUGAUAGGCUGCAGGUGUAAGUACAGUAAUGUAUUCAGCCGAGCAGUACUAAUCGGUCGUGAGACUUGACCAU
rnacentral:rRNA from 1 species